rnacentral:rRNA from 1 species
CAGCCGCCGCGGUAAUACGUAGGGUGCAAGCGUUACUCGGAAUUACUGGGCGUAAAGCGUGCGCAGGCGGUUCGGAAAGAAAGAUGUGAAAUCCCAGAGCUUAACUUUGGAACUGCAUUUUUAACUACCGGGCUAGAGUGUGUCAGAGGGAGGUGGAAUUCCGCGUGUAGCAGUGAAAUGCGUAGAUAUGCGGAGGAACACCGAUGGCGAAGGCAGCCUCCUGGGAUAACACUGACGCUCAUGCACGAAAGCGUGGGGAGCAAACAGGAUUAGAUACCCUGGUAGUCCACGCCCUAAACGAUGUCAACGAGCUGUUGGGGCCUUCGGGCCUUGGUAGCGCAGCUAACGCGUGAAGUUGACCGCCUGGGGAGUACGGUCGCAAGAUUAAAACUUAAAGGAAUUGGCGGG